UACGUAGGGGGCUAGCGUUGUCCGGAAUCAUUGGGCGUAAAGCGCGUGUAGGCGGUCCGGUAAGUCCGCUGUGAAAGUCGGGGGCUCAACCCUCGAAUGCCGGUGGAUACUGUCGGGCUAGAGUGCGGAAGAGGCGAGUGGAAUUCCUGGUGUAGCGGUGAAAUGCGCAGAGUAUCAGGAGGAACACCAAUUGCGAAGGCAGCUCGCUGGGACGUAACUGACGCUGGAGACGCGAAAGCGUGGGGAGCAAACAGG
rnacentral:rRNA from 1 species